rnacentral:rRNA from 1 species
ACGGGUGAGUAAUGCCUGGGAAAUUGCCCUGAUGUGGGGGAUAACCAUUGGAAACGAUGGCUAAUACCGCAUAAUAGCUUCGGCUCAAAGAGGGGGACCUUCGGGCCUCUCGCGUCAGGAUAUGCCCAGGUGGGAUUAGCUAGUUGGUGAGGUAAUGGCUCACCAAGGCGACGAUCCCUAGCUGGUCUGAGAGGAUGAUCAGCCACACUGGAACUGAGACACGGUCCAGACUCCUACGGGAGGCAGCAGUGGGGAAUAUUGCACAAUGGGCGCAAGCCUGAUGCAGCCAUGCCGCGUGUAUGAAGAAGGCCUUCGGGUUGUAAAGUACUUUCAGCAGUGAGGAAGGCAGGGACGUUAAUAGCGGGCUUGUUUGACGUUAGCUGCAGAAGAAGCACCGGCUAACUCCGUGCCAGCAGCCGCGGUAAUACGGAGGGUGCGAGCGUUAAUCGGAAUUACUGGGCGUAAAGCGCAUGCAGGUGGUUUGUUAAGUCAGAUGUGAAAGCCCGGGGCUCAACCUCGGAAUUGCAUUUGAAACUGGCAGACUAGAGUACUGUAGAGGGGGGUAGAAUUUCAGGUGUAGCGG